GAUGAAGAACGUAGCGAAAUGCGAUAAGUAAUGUGAAUUGCAGAAUUCAGUGAAUCAUCGAAUCUUUGAACGCACCUUGCGCCCUUUGGCUAUUCCGAAGGGCAUGCCUGUUUGAGUAUCAUGAACACCUCAACUCUCAUGGCUUGCCAUGAUGAGCUUGGACUUUUGGGGGUCUUGCUGGCCUGUGGUCAGCUCCUCUCAAAUGAAUUAGCCUGCCAGUGUUUGGUGGCAUCACAGGUGUGAUAACUAUCUACGCUUGUGGUUUUCCACCAGGUAACCUUCAGUGAUGAAGGUUCGCUGGGGCUCAUAAACGUCUCUCCUCAGUGAGGACAGCUCUUUGAACGUUUGAUCUCAAAUCAGGUAGGACUACCCGCUGAACUUAAGAAUAUCAAUAAGCGGAGGA
rnacentral:misc_RNA from 1 species